UGGAUCACCGUGCAUGAACCCCUGAUCGGCGAGUUCGACGCGCGUUAUUUCGUCGUUUGUUUCUUUUUCACACGAGGAGCUGUUGUUGGGCGUGUAAACUUAGUUUGAACCUCUGGCUGUCGGCGAACACCGCGGCCGCGCCCGCACCCGCGCUCCCAGCAGAGGAGGGAGGAUGAAGCGCGAAAAUGGUCAAGAAGAGAUGCUUUGGAUUAGAAGUAAAAGUUGUCAACGAUGAGCCUGACAUCAGCCUGAUGGUACUUCAAUGGCCAGCUCUUUCUACAGUAAACCAGGUUGCAGCUGACAAGGACUCAUACAGGCAAACUUCAGUGAGAAUCGUCUGUGUUGAUCUAUAAAGUGCUCAGCUAAACCCAUCAUGAGUGAAGAUCUCAAGACUUCUGUGUCCUUUUUUCUGACUGAUUUAUGCCCUGCAACUGGACUACCCUAACUGUAUGAAAAAUACUUUAUAUUUUAUUCAGCAGGUAAUGCUCAACCUAGGAAAAUGUGAGCUGGCACCUAAAAUGGAAUACUGCCACUAUUGUGAACUCAGGAGUGUGAACAAACCAUAUAGUUUUGAUGCAAUUUGUUGUGAUUCUGAGAUAGACUAUUUAUGUGCUUAACAAUAAGCUGAUUUGUUAAAACUAUUUUUUUCACGUUUUAUAAGGAAAUGUUUUCAGGACAUAAAAUGUUGUUGUAUUUGGAAUUGAAUUAAAAUAAAACAUAAAAUUGAAUUAAUGUACCUUUUAUUUGCUUUUUUUCUUAAUUUUGUAGUAAAAUAGAAGUUGCUAUAAAUUAACUUGCUUAGUACAUUGAACUUAAC